ACAUGCAAGUCGAGCGAACUGAUUUAUAAGCUUGCUUCUAUGACGUUAGCGGCGGACGGGUGAAAAACACGUGGGCAACCUGCCUGUAAGACUGGGAUAACUCCGGGAAACCGGAGCUAAUACCGGAUAACAUUUUCUCUUGCAUAAGAGAAAAUUGAAAGAUGGUUUCGGCUAUCACUUACAGAUGGGCCCGCGGUGCAUUAGCUAGUUGGUGAGGUAACGGCUCACCAAGGCAACGAUGCAUAGCCGACCUGAGAGGGUGAUCGGCCACACUGGGACUGAGACACGGCCCAGACUCCUACGGGAGGCAGCAGUAGGGAAUCUUCCGCAAUGGACGAAAGUCUGACGGAGCAACGCCGCGUGAGUGAUGAAGGCUUUCGGGUCGAAAAACUCUGUUGUUAGGGAAGAACAAGUACAAGAGUAACUGCUUGUACCUUGACGGUACCUAACCAGAAAGCCACGGCUAACUACGUGCCAGCAGCCGCGGUAAUACGUAAGUGGCAAGCGUUAUCCGGAAUUAUUGGGCGUAAAGCGCGCGCAGGCGGUUUCUUAAGUCUGAUGUGAAAGCCCACGGCUCAACCGUGGAGGGUCAUUGGAAACUGGGGAACUUGAGUGCAGAAGAGAAAAGCGGAAUUCCACGUGUAGCGGUGAAAUGCGUAGAGAUGUGGAGGAACACCAGUGGCGAAGGCGGCUUUUUGGUCUGUAACUGACGCUGAGGCGCGAAAGCGUGAGGAGCAAAACAGGAUUAGAUACCCUGGUAGUCCACGCCGUAAACGAUGAGUGCUAAGUGUUAGAGGGUUUCCGCCCUUUAGUGCUGCAGCUAACGCAUUAAGCACUCCGCCUGGGGAGUACGGUCGCAAGACUGAAACUCACAGGAAUUGACGGGGGCUCUGCAACAAGCGGUGGAUCAUGUGGUUUAAUUCGAAGCAACGCGUAGGUAACUUUACCAGGUCU
rnacentral:rRNA from 2 species